AUACUCUGAAAGAAUGAUUAAAGAUCACAUCAGUGAUUUUGUCAGAAGGACAAGCACAGGUACCUGCUGGUCGAUACCUGUCUUCUGUAAGGUGCAGAGGGGAAGGAGAAAGGGAUUGACAUCAAAAAGACCAGCGUUGGGACCUGGCUUUACCACCAUGGGCAUGUUACUCUGCCCUGACAUCUCCUUUUCCUUAAAGAAUUGCUUCGAAGAUUAAAGACGGGCCCUAAAUGUGAAUCGAAACUGCAGAGAAGAUGGAAGGGGGAUUCAGAAGAGAUCUAAGAAAAUGGAAUCCAGGGAUAGAGAGCACAGCCUUCCAGGAAGAGUUAAAACAACUGCCAUUAUUUUGGCCUAAAGUUUUCCUAUAUUUUUUGUUAUUCAACCACUUUAAGAAUAAAGAAUGAGGCUCUUGGACUUCUCUGGUGGUGCAGUGGUUAAGAAUCCUCCUGCCAAUACAGGGACACGGGUUCGAUCCCUGGUCCAGGAAGAUCCCACAUGCCGCGGAGCAACUAAGCCCAUGCGCCACAACUACUGAGCCUGCAUGCCACAACUACUGAAGCCCGCGCACCUAGAGCCCGUGCUCCACAACAAGAGAAGCCACCGCAAUGAGAAGCCUGCACACCUCAACGAAGAGUAGCCCCCACUCGCCACAACUAGAGAAAGCUCGUGUGCAGCAACGAAGACCCA